rnacentral:rRNA from 1 species
UACGAAGGGGGGCUAGCGUUGCUCGGAAUCACUGGGCGUAAAGGGUGCGUAGGCGGGUCUUUAAGUCAGGGGUGAAAUCCUGGAGCUCAACUCCAGAACUGCCUUUGAUACUGAGGAUCUUGAGUCCGGGAGAGGUGAGUGGAACUGCGAGUGUAGAGGUGAAAUUCGUAGAUAUUCGCAAGAACACCAGUGGCGAAAGCGGCUCUCUGGGACGGUACUGACGCUGAGACGCGAAAGCGUGGGGAGCAAACAGG